UGGGGAAUAUUGGACAAUGGGCGAAAGCCUGAUCCAGCCAUGCCGCGUGUGUGAAGAAGGUCUUCGGAUUGUAAAGCACUUUAAGUUGGGAGGAAGGGCCAUUACCUAAUACGUGAUUGUUUUGACGUUACCGACAGAAUAAGCACCGGCUAACUCUGUGCCAGCAGCCGCGGUAAUACAGAGGGUGCAAGCGUUAAUCGGAAUUACUGGGCGUAAAGCGCGCGUAGGUGGUUAGUUAAGUUGGAUGUGAAAUCCCCGGGCUCAACCUGGGAACUGCAUUCAAAACUGACUGACUAGAGUAUGGUAGAGGGUGGUGGAAUUUCCUGUGUAGCGGUGAAAUGCGUAGAUAUAGGAAGGAACACCAGUGGCGAAGGCGACCACCUGGACUGAUACUGACACUGAGGUGCGAAAGCGUGGGGAGCAAACAGGAUUAGAUACCCCAGUAGUCCCUGAGCGGGCUGGCAAGGCGCAU
rnacentral:rRNA from 1 species